CCUGCCCUUAGAGGCAUUGCAGGUGUGGCUGCUGUGUCACAUGUGUCAGUCAGGUGGCAAAGAGGACAGAGGCUAUGUCUAUGCUCAGUGUUCUGACCUGUGAACAUCUGAGUAAUUCUUAGCCUAACACU